rnacentral:lncRNA from 1 species
CUAGAACAAUCAGACAUCACAUCUGAAAACAUAACAAACGAUCAGACUUCCGAAUCGAAGUUAGAGCAUACGAGCGCAAAAGAUACAGAAACACUUGCACCUGAAAUUGAGGAGACUAAAGGCAUAGAAAAUCUGCAUGAGACAACAAAGAAUAUCAAAUUGACUGACGAGGAGGUUGCUGUGGAGACGGAAAAAGAAAAGGAAAGAAAUGAAAUUGAAAAACAGGUUUCAGAGGACGAUACAGAACUCGAUAGUACACCAACGCCAGUUCAAAAGGAGGAGUUGGCAAAUGAGAUAGAAUACUCAAAGCCAAUACCAGUUGGAAACAUUGAAGUAAAAGCAGAAAGCCAAAUAGAAGUCAGGCUGCAGAAGAUCUCAGUUGUUUGUCAAAAUCAAAAGCGGAAAUACGUGACGAUCCUCAGCAGACUAUCACAGUCAUUGGAGAAGUAAAACAUGAAGCAUCAAAAGUUCUAGAAGAUUCCAAGGCUUCAGAACGUCAAGUUAACUUACCAGAAAUAGAAUCUACUGAUACUCCCUCGAAUGACCAAGAUAGCAUGAAACUAGAAGAAGACGUAGACACGAGAAACUAUUGAAGAACAGGGUGCACUCACUUCUCAGUUAGCAGACAGAGAGAUAUUGGAAGGAAAGGAUGACAAACCGAUAUCGGAAUUUCAGAAGACCAGAAAAGCAUCAAAGAUAUUAUCAACGAGGAAGCUAAGCUUACUCAAUUGACAUCAGACACAGAUGUU